CCUACGGGAGGCAGCAGUGGGGAAUCUUGCACAAUGGAGGAAACUCUGAUGCAGCGAUGCCGCGUGAGUGAAGAAGGCCUUUGGGUUGUAAAGCUCUUUUGUAGGGGAAGAUAAUGACUGUACCCUAAGAAUAAGGUCCGGCUAACUUCGUGCCAGCAGCCGCGGUAAUACGAAGGGACCUAGCGUAGUUCGGAAUUACUGGGCGUAAAGCGCGCGUAGGCCGUUGAGUUAGUUAAUUGUGAAAUCCCAAAGCUUAACUUUGGAACUGCAAUUAAAACUGCUCGACUAGAGUUUGAUAGAGGAAAGCGGAAUACAUAGUGUAGAGGUGAAAUUCGUAGAUAUUAUGUAGAACACCAGUUGCGAAGGCGGCUUUCUGGAUCAACACUGACGCUGAGGCGCGAAAGUAUGGGUAGCAAAGAGGAUUAGAUACCCUCGUAGUCCAUACCAUAAACGAUGAUUGCUAGAUGUUGGAAAUUUAUUUUCAGUAUCGCAGCUAACGCAUUAAGCAAUCCGCCUGGGGAUACGACCGCAAGGUUAAAACUCAAAGGAAUUGACCGGNNGAGAGNGCGAGACGACACGAGGAGAG
rnacentral:rRNA from 1 species